UUCUUAUCUAGAGCGGUGGAGGGACUGGCCCUUUGAAGCCCGGCAACCACAGGUUUUGUGAAACCUGAAGGUGCUAAAUCCAGCAGGCAUAGCCUGAGAGAUGAGAG
rnacentral:ncRNA from 2 species